rnacentral:rRNA from 1 species
UACGUAGGGGGCAAGCGUUGUCCGGAUUUAUUGGGCGUAAAGAGCGUGUAGGUGGCCUGAAAGGUCAGCUGUGAAAACUCGAGGCUCAACCUCGAGACGUCGGUUGAAACCAUCUGGCUAGAGUCCGGAAGAGGAGUGUGGAAUUCCCGGUGUAGCGGUGAAAUGCGCAGAUAUCGGGAAGAACACCCGUGGCGAAGGCGGUUGGCUGGGCCACACCUGACACUGAGGCGCGACAGCGUGGGGAGCAAACAGG